AUGCUUUUAUUUAUAUUCCCUUUUCAGGUUGUGAGGCCGGCGGAGUGGAGUUCGAGGAAUCGCUAGCCUUGAUGCCUUGACUGUUUAACCCGGAUUUUUACCACGUCAACGAUUUCUAAAAUAUCUAGCCAAGAUAUCGAUUUUUAAUUUUUGUACUCUGAUUUGGGAACCCAGUCUAUUAAACGGGGGUAUCUUAAAUAAAGUUUAUUUCCUUCCGCUGUCUUACGAGUGUUUUCUAAACCCCGGUGAUGUUUUAUGUGGAUUAUUCCGCCACCUCGAGAUUAUUUUCAAAAUCCCGUUCAUGUUAUGGUACACUCUCUAUGAAAAAUCUUAUUUUCCGAUUGUCGGUUAGAUUUGAAGUAAAGGGAAAUGGUUCUUAAAUUUUAAAGUGGUUUUUCUCAAAGUUCAAAUUUGUUCCAAAAGUUUUUAAUAAAGUCCGUGUUUUCCAAAAUUUCUUUUAAAUCAUUGAGGGUGCUACACGGAGGAAUACUGGAAGGGGUAAAAAGGCAAACGAAAGUGAAUCCCCGCGUCGCAUUGGAAGUCGAGCCGAAGCUUAAGGAAAUAUUGUCCGAUAUAUUGCCGGAAUUGAUGUUUGGAGACUGCCAUUGAAUAUAAUGCCAAACCGAAAUCUCCGAGUAUUGGUACCUACUACUUAUAUUAUAUUGCUUUCCUUAGUCACAAUUUUUAGGAUAAUUUAAACGAUCCAUUUUCGUUUCUUCAAUUCCAAGUUAAAACAGAAUCUCCAUCCAAUUGUUAUUCGUUUUCUCCGUCGGUUAUUUAUCCAAGAUUGUUGUUUCGAACAUGCUUCGAACUCGGUUUCUUGUUCAAUAUAUAGCGUUUU
rnacentral:lncRNA from 1 species